ensembl:ncRNA F58F12.11 ncRNA
UUUCUCGUUGAAGUUUAUAACUGAAGGUAAUUCCAUAUUGCUUUUGUUUUUAACAAAUACUUUUGGUGAC